AGCGAACGCUGGCGGCAGACCUAACACAUGCAAGUCGAGCGCGUGUCGCAAGACACGAGCGGCAGACGGGAGAGUAACACGUGGGAACGUACCCUUUGGUUCGGAACAACCCAGGGAAACGUUGGGCUAAUACCGAAUAAGCCCUUACGGGGAAGGAUUAUCGCCGAAGGAUCGGCCCGCCGUCUGAUUAGCUAGUUGGUGGGGUAACGGCCCGACCAACGGCGACGAUCAGUAGCUGGUCUGAGAGGAUGAU
rnacentral:rRNA from 1 species